AUUCACCCAACAACAUGCAUGAUGCAUGAUGCGUAUGGUGCUAAAUGCUGGGAAUGCAAACCUGAAGAAGUGUCUAUUUCAAAUCAAUAGGAGUACUUGAAGAUUCUCCCUGCUUACAAUGUAAACAUCAUGAAGAAAGAGAUGUGUUGGACUUGUUCAUUGCUAUAUUUCCUGGCUCAGAUCCUGGCACUGAGUAGACAUCAAGAAAUAUUUAAAUGAAUGAAAGAAUGAAUGAAUGAAUGAAUGAACUGUGUCCUCUUGUAGAGCUGAGGGUGUUUUACCACUACCCUAAGAGCUGACACCAGGAGGUCUUGCUGCAAAGCCAGGCACUGUAUUCCACACUGUAUUUCCAUCAUCGCUUUUAAUGAGACUUCUUUGCAAAUAUGUAUGGUAUCUUUUAAAAUACCUGAUAACCAGCCAGCAGAGGUGGUCAGCUGCUACACUGGUAGCCACAAACAGAAUCCAAGACACAGAACUUCAUACGGUGUCACAGCUUCAUUUUCCAGGCUACAGCUCCCACUGCCCACAUCAGAACCAUCUGCAGGUCCAUAAGCUGUGAGUUUCUUUGGGAGUUGGGGGAGUGUCUUUUGGAUGUUUAUAACUUAUGCAUCUUAAUAUUGAAUGUGCACUUAAUACAGGGAACUUCAUAGUACUUGAUUUUUUAUGCAAAAAUGACUUAAUUAAAAUUUCUUGAAGAAA
rnacentral:lncRNA from 1 species